rnacentral:rRNA from 1 species
AUUGAACGCUGGCGGCAUGCCUUACACAUGCAAGUCGAACGGUAACGGGCCUUCGGGUGCCGACGAGUGGCGAACGGGUGAGUAAUGUAUCGGAACGUACCUUUCAGUGGGGGAUAACACAGCGAAAGCUGUGCUAAUACCGCAUACGACCUGAGGGUGAAAGCGGGGGAUCGCAAGACCUCGCGCGAUGGGAGCGGCCGAUAUCGGAUUAGCUUGUUGGUGAGGUAAAGGCUCACCAAGGCGACGAUCCGUAGCUGGUCUGAGAGGACGACCAGCCACACUGGAACUGAGACACGGUCCAGACUCCUACGGGAGGCAGCAGUGGGGAAUUUUGGACAAUGGGGGCAACCCUGAUCCAGCCAUUCCGCGUGAGUGAAGAAGGCCUUC